rnacentral:rRNA from 1 species
UACGAAGGGUGCAAACGUUGCUCGGAAUUACUGGGCGUAAAGCGCGUGUAGGCGGUCUCGCGAGUCGGGUGUGAAAGCCCGGGGCUCAACCCCGGACGUGCAUUCGAUACUACGAGGCUGGAGUACUGUAGAGGAGGAGCGGAAUUCCCGGUGUAGAGGUGAAAUUCGUAGAUAUCGGGAGGAAUACCAGUGGCGAAGGCGGCUCUCUGGACAGUGACUGACGCUGAGACGCGAAAGCGUGGGUAGCAAACAGG